GAUCCUGGCUCAGAGCGAACGUUAGCGGCGGGCCUAACACAUGCAAGUCGAACGCGAAAGGUCUUCGGACUGAGUAGAGUGGCGCACGGGUGAGUAACACGUAGGUAAUCUACCCUUUGGCGGGGGAUAACGUUCCGAAAGGAGUGCUAAUACCGCAUAAGACCACGGAGUCUCCGGACGCUGUGGGAAAAGGUGGCCUCUUCUUGAAAGCUACCACCGAAGGAUGAGCCUGCGUCCCAUCAGCUAGUUGGUAAGGUAAUGGCUUACCAAGGCGAAGACGGGUAGCUGGUUUGAGAGAAUGAUCAGCCACACUGGCACUGGAACACGGGCCAGACUCCUACGGGAGGCAGCAGUGAGGAAUAUUGGGCAAUGGGCGAAAGCCUGACCCAGCCACGCCGCGUGAGUGAUGAAGGCCCUCGGGUCGUAAAGCUCUGUGGAGAGGGACGAAAACCCUGGUUUCAAAUAGGCUCCAGGCUUGACGGUACCUCUUUAGCAAGCACCGGCUAACUCUGUG
rnacentral:rRNA from 1 species